AGAGUUUGAUCCUGGCUCAGAUUGAACGCUGGCGGAAUGCUUUACACAUGCAAGUCGAACGGCAGCAUAGAGAGCUUGCUCUCUGAUGGCGAGUGGCGAACGGGUGAGUAAUAUAUCGGAACGUACCUAGUAAUGGGGAACAACCAGCCGAAAGGUUGGCUAAUACCGCAUACGACCUACGGGUGAAAGCAGGGGAUCUUCGGACCUUGCGUUAUUAGAGCGGCCGAUAUCUGAUUAGGUAGUUGGUGGGGUAAAGGCCUACCAAGCCGACGAUCAGUAGCUGGUCUGAGAGGACGAUCAGCCACACUGGAACUGAGACACGGUCCAGACUCCUACGGGAGGCAGCAGUGGGGAAUUUUGGACAAUGGGGGCAACCCUGAUCCAGCCAUUCCGCGUGAGUGAAGAAGGCCUUCGGGUUGUAAAGCUCUUUCGCAAGAGAAGAAAUCUUACUAUCGAAUAAAUAGUAAGGAUGACGGUAUCUUGACAAGAAGCACCGGCUAACUACGUGCCAGCAGCCGCGGUAAUACGUAGGGUGCGAGCGUUAAUCGGAAUUACUGGGCGUAAAGCGUGCGCAGGCGGUUUUAUAAGUCAGAUGUGAAAUCCCCGAGCUCAACUUGGGAACUGCGUUUGAAACUGUAAGACUAGAGUGUGUCAGAGGGGGGUAGAAUUCCACGUGUAGCAGUGAAAUGCGUAGAUAUGUGGAGGAAUACCAAUGGCGAAGGCAGCCCCCUGGGAUAACACUGACGCUCAUGCACGAAAGCGUGGGGAGCAAACAGGAUUAGACACCUGGUAGUCACGCCCUAAACGAUGUCUACUAGUUGUUGGUGGAGUAAAAUCCAUGAGUAACGCAGCUAACGCGUGAAGUAGACCGCGUGGGGAGUACGGUCGCAAGAUUAAAACUCAAAGGAAUUGACGGGGGCCCGCACAAGCGGUGGAUUAUGUGGAUUAAUUCGAUGCAACGCGAAAAACCUUACCUGGCCUUGACAUGUACCGAAUUUAGCAGAGAUGCUUUAGUGCUCGUAAGAGAACGGUAACACAGGUGCUGCAUGGCUGUCGUCAGCUCGUGUCGUGAGAUGUUGGGUUAAGUCCCGCAACGAGCGCAACCCUCACUUUUAGUUGCCAUCAUUAAGUUGGGCACUCUGAAAGAACUGCCAGUGAUAAGCUGGAGGAAGGUGGGGAUGACGUCAAGUCCUCAUGGCCCUUACGUGUUGGGCUACACACGUGCUACAAUGGUAUCUACAACAGGAAGCAAGACUGCGAAGUUAAGCAAAUCCCUAAAAGAUACCUCAGUUCGGAUUGCACUCUGCAACUCGAGUGCAUGAAGCUGGAAUUACUAGUAAUCGUGGAUCAGCGUGCCACGGUGAAUGCGUUCCCGGGUCUCGUACACACCGCCCGUCACACCAUGGGAGUUGGUUCUACCUUAAGGCAAGGUUUCAAACCCUUGACCACGGUAUAGUCAGCGACUGGGGUGAAGUCGUAACAAGGUAACC
rnacentral:rRNA from 1 species